GAUGAACGCUGGCGGCGUGCCUAAUACAUGCAAGUCGAGCGAACAGACGAGGAGCUUGCUCCUCUGACGUUAGAGGCGGACGGGUGAGUAACACGUGGAUAACCUACCUAUAAGACUGGGAUAACUUCGGGAAACCGGAGCUAAUACCGGAUAAUAUAUUGAACCGCAUGGUUCAAUAGUGAAAGACGGUUUUGCUGUCACUUAUAGAUGGAUCCGCGCCGCAUUAGUUAGUUGGUAAGGUAACGGCUUACCAAGGCAACGAUGCGUAGCCGACCUGAGAGGGUGAUCGGCCACACUGGAACUGAGACACGGUCCAGACUCCUACGGGAGGCAGCAGUAGGGAAUCUUCCGCAAUGGGCGAAAGCCUGACGGAGCAACGCCGCGUGAGUGAUGAAGGUCUUCGGAUCGUAAAACUCUGUUAUUAGGGAAGAACAAAUGUGUAAGUAACUAUGCACGUCUUGACGGUACCUAAUCAGAAAGCCACGGCUAACUACGUG
rnacentral:rRNA from 1 species